rnacentral:rRNA from 1 species
UACGUAGGGUGCGAGCGUUGUCCGGAAUUAUUGGGCGUAAAGGGCUCGUAGGCGGUUUGUCGCGUCGGGAGUGAAAUCCACUGGCUUAACUGGUGGCUUGCUUUCGAUACGGGCAGACUGGAGGUAUGCAGGGGAGAACGGAAUUCCUGGUGUAGCGGUGAAAUGCGUAGAGAUCCGGAGGAACACCGACGGCGUAGGCGGCAUCCUGGACCGACACUGACGCUGAGGAGCGAAAGCCAGGGGAGCAAACGGG